rnacentral:lncRNA from 1 species
GACAGCAAGGCUGAGGAGAAUGGCUCCCACAGCUUCAUGCACUCCAUGGACCCACAGCUGGAGCGGCAAAUGGAAACCACCCAGAACCUGGUGGACUCCUACAUGGCCAUUGUCAACAAGACCGUGUGGGACCUCAUGGUUGGUGCGAAGCCCAAGACCACCAUGCAUAUCAUGAUCUACAAUGUGCAUGCACCGCCUCAUGGGGACCAAGGAGUUCAUCUUCUCGGAGCUGCUGUCCAACCUGCGCUCGCGUGGGAACGAGAAGACACUCAUGGAGGAGUCGGCAGAGUAGGCACAGCGGCGCGACGAGAUGCUGCUUCUCAGAGCUGCUGUCCAACCUGCACUCGCUUGGGAACCAGAAGACACUCGUGGAGGAGUCGGCAGAGCAGGCACAGCGGCGCGACGAGACUCGCGUGGGAAGAAAUAGACACUCCUGGAGGAGUCGGCAGAGCAGGCACAGCGGCGCGACGAGACUCGCGUGGGAACGAGAAGACACUCCUGGAGGAGUCGGCAGAGCAGGCAGACCAAGGAGUUCAUCUUCUCGGAGCUGCUGUCCAACCUGCACUCGCGUAGGGACAAGAAGACACUCCUGCAGGAGUCGGCGGAGCAGGCAGACCAAGGAGUUCAUCUUCUCAGAGCUGCUGUCCAACCUGCACUCGCGUGGGAACGAGAAGACACUCCUGGAGGAGUCGGCGGAGCAGGCACAGCGGCGCGACGAGAUGCUGCGCAUGCACCACGUGCUGAAAGAGGCUCUCAGCAUCAUCGGCAACAUCAACACGAACACCGUCAGCACAGCUACGGGGGCCCGUGGACGACGCCUAGCUGCAGUGGGUCAGGCAAGACCAUCCCAUCCUCAGAGCCCCAGCCCCCACUUCGACCUCU